rnacentral:sRNA from 1 species
AUUAUAAAAUUUUAUUGAAGUGUCAAUCUCCCUUUUAAAAUCUCUUGUAAAUCUUUUAAAACCCUUUUAAAAUCCCUUGUAAAUCUAUUUCCCGCUAAAAAGAAAAUUUUUACAGGAAAAAUAUUUUC